CAAACCCUUUCUUUCUUCACCUCAGUCCCAAAAUUCCCCUCUUCCUCUCCUUCCACUACCGUGUACCUCAAUUUCCACCUGAGCAAGAGUUCAUGCCUUUCUUUUUCCCAAUUUGUUUUGAUUAUAUCGUUUAGGGUUCGAAAAUAAAAACCCCCAAGUGCUAGAAAUUAUUCGUUCACGGUUACCCUCAAAGACACUCUCAACGGGCUGUACAAUGCUCUCAGUUGUAUAUAUCUUCAAUUUAGAUUUACUUGUUAUGCUUUGAUUUGAUUCAGGCUGAUGCACUUCGUGAGAGAUUGGAUGCGAACAAAGAACGUGGUUAGUUUCUCUUUCUUUUUGUUAGAUAAACUGAGGCUGGCUGGCUGGGUAACAAGUUAAAACGGCGUCCUUGUUUUAGUUGGGGCUGGCAUGAAACUCUUUUAUUACAAUAAAAGUGUAUUACAGUUAAGCUAGCUUUGAUUUGUGUUCUAUUUUUAUAUUUUAAUCAACUAUAUUGGUUUCUUUUUUCUUUUUUUUUUGUUUGCUUUGAAUACAUAUUAUUGAUGUUUUUCAUUGAUUGUUAUGGACAAUGGGAUUGUUUAUGAAGAUAGGCACCAUCUCAGGAUGCAAUAGAAGGAACACGAACGAGCAUUGAUGCAACAGAAAGGGCGACGUGGGGCGUCGGUUCAGAAUGACAGAGGAUAUUCAAGAAGGUGGGUUGAUGAAGUUAAUUUCAGAUGCAUCAUGGGUACUUACACAAGAAUUUGUGGAUAAACAUGCAAUAGAUUAUGUGGCUCACGAUUCUCUUUCGUAGGCUUCUAAAACUCGGAUUUUAGAGAUGAACAAAAUUUUUGAGUUCGAGUUACCCAACUAAGUUUGGAAACAAAGAUUUUGAGUUUGAGUUACCCAAUGAAGAAGCGGAUGAUGGCAGCGAUGAUGACACAUAUAUGAUUUAGAAUUAUUACAUUUUAUAUGUCAUGUAAUUUAAUGACGUGUUGUGUUUGUGACUUAAAACAAACGUGAAAUUACGUUUUUGACAUUUAUGUAGUUUAUAUCUGU
rnacentral:lncRNA from 1 species